UAUUGAGUUCUGUCUUAUUUCUCUUCUUUUUCAGAAUAUUCCCUAUGUUUGCGUUUGUUUCACUCAGGUUGGCAGUUCUUUUUCAAGUUGGAGAAAGUGCAGUUUUAAUUUUACUUGCAACAAAUGUAAUAGAUUAAUAGAGAGAAUAGAGCUCUUUAGACUUGUCUUCCUAUCCAAAUGCCAAGGACCAAAGAGAUCUUUCUUCCAGAUGAUCUACUGUGCUGUUGUAUUUUGAAAGCAGCGUAAUAAUGUGUCACUGAGUAACAUGCUGUGACUGUAUCCCAGGCAGACUUCACUCACAACUGCAGCCUGUGGGUAGGUAGCAUGCCAGUCCCUCCAGUAGAGCACUGGUUUAGCUCUAAGCAGAAAACAUAAUUAAUUCAGCCACAUGAUAACAUCUGAGGAUUAUUAUGACAUUUUAUUUUCAUGAAAAUUAUUUUAGAUCCUUUGUCCAAUCCCACUCAAAACAGUGAUACAAUUGACCUUCACAUUCCAUCAUCGUAAUGUAAGCAAUGUAAAAGAAGGACUGUCUGAGAAACUGGAGUUCUAAGAACCUCUUUCCAGUUGAGCCCGUUUCUUCCACAUUCGUCUGUAAAGGUCCCAGGGAAUUAGUGUCCAAUAUCUUGCCUGCCUUCUUUUCUGUUCAGCAGACUUAAAAUCAAAAUUUUGUUUCUCAGUAGGAUUGGUGUUAACCAUCUCCUUUGAGUGGUGACUAAAACCCAUUUGGACUUCCUCUAAGAAGUUGUAAUCAGGACAGAUUUACCACAUUCCAAAUCUGUUGUUUAGCCUAGUAUAUAAAGACAAUAAAUGAUUUGUAUAUAUUUUAUUCUAAUUAAUCAUAAUUUUCCAGAUUUGCUCAUUUGUCAAUGCAUCUGCAUUGGAGGACUUAAGUAGAAAAAGACAGAGUGUGUGACUUGCUGACUUAAAAUUAAAUUAGGGCUAUUUUUUAUUUUUUAGUCACAUAUAUGACAAAUUCUUAUGAUAUGCAUUUUAGGAGAAAGUGGGAAUGCAGUUAAGUAAAUGACUCAGAAAAGCAUAUAAAACUGUUCAACCAUAUCAACCUUUAUAAUUAAUAAAAUGCAUACAUGAUAUAUACACGAUAUACAUAUGAAGUACAUGUAUAUAUGGGCUCUGUAUGUGUACAUAUGAAAUAAAAAUUGAUAAUUAUUUGCCUUUUUCACCUAUCAGAUUAGCAAGCAUAUGUGUUAACAAAAAGUGGGUAGUUUAGAACUAGUGUGUUACAAACUUUGAAGAAGCCAAUGCAAAAGUUGAAUUAGAUGGAAAUUAGCACAUUUUGACCAACAGUUUUACAUUUAGAAAUUUACCUGUAACAUGAAAUAAGAACUGUGCAAACAUGUGUGUAAUG